GAAUUGUAGAUAAUUAGAUCUAGAGUAGUAUUAGUUAAGAUCUUGAAACUCAAAAAAUUUGGCGGUAUUUUAGUCUAUUUAGAGGAACCUGUAGUAUAAUCGAUAAUCCACGAUGGACCUCACUUAAUUUUGUUUUUCAGUUUGUAUACCGCUGUUAUUUGAAAAUUUUAUAAGAAUAUUAAUUUUCAUAAUUUUUAAUUAAAAAAUAAAUCAGGUCAAGGUGCAGCUUAUGAUUAAGUAUUUAUGGGUUACAAUAAAUUUAUUUAUAUGAAUAAAGGCAUGAAAAUUGUUUUUUGAAAGCGGAUUUAAUAGUAAAUUUUUAAAGAUAAAAGAAUUGAUU
rnacentral:rRNA from 1 species